CUGGUGUUAAACCGGAGGAAGUGGGGAUGACGGUCAAGUCAUCAUGGCCCUUAUGGGCAGGGCUACACACGUGCUACAAUGGCCAGUACAGAAGGUUGCCAACCCGCGAGGGGGAGCUAAUCCUACAAAGCUGGUCGUAAGUCCGGAUCGCAGUCUGCAACUCGACUGCGUGAAGUCGGAAUCGCUAGUAAUCGCGAAUCAGCAUGUCGCGGUGAAUACGUUCCCGGGCCUU
rnacentral:rRNA from 1 species